UACGUGGGGUGCGAGCGUUGUCCGGAAUUAUUGGGCGUAAAGGGCUCGUAGGCGGUUUGUCACGUCGGGAGUGAAAACUCAGGGCUUAACCCUGAGCCUGCUUCCGAUACGGGCAGACUAGAGGUAUGCAGGGGAGAAUGGAAUUCCUGGUGUAGCGGUGAAAUGCGCAGAUAUCAGGAGGAACACCGGUGGCGAAGGCGGUUCUCUGGGCAUCACCUGACGCUGAGGAGCGAAAGCGUGGGGAGCGAACAGG
rnacentral:rRNA from 1 species